UCGGGAAUUUUGGGCAAUGGGCGAAAGCCUGACCCAGCAACGCCGCGUGAAGGAUGAAGCAUUUCGGUAUGUAAACUUCGAAAGAAUAGGAAGAAUAAAUGACGGUACUAUUUAUAAGGUCCGGCUAACUACGUGCCAGCAGCCGCGGUAAUACGUAGGGACCAAGCGUUGUUCGGAUUUACUGGGCGUAAAGGGCGCGUAGGCGGCAAUUCAAGUCAUCUGUGAAAUCUCCGGGCUUAACUCGGAACGGUCAGAUGAUACUGCUUUGCUAGAGUGCAGAAGGGGCAAUCGGAAUUCUUGGUGUAGCGGUGAAAUGCGUAGAUAUCAAGAGGAACACCUGAGGUGAAGACGGGUUGCUGGGCUGACACUGACGCUGAGGCGCGAAAGCCAGGGGAGCAAACGGGAUUAGAUACCCUAGAGUCCCUGAGCGGGCUGGCAAGGCGCAU
rnacentral:rRNA from 1 species